rnacentral:rRNA from 1 species
CAGCUCUCCGAGUAGUGUGGACGUUUAUUGGGCCUAAAGCAUCCGUAGCUUGCUAGAUAAGUCCUCUGUUAAAUCCACCGAUUCAAUCGUUGGAUUGCGGGGGAUACUGUUUGGCUAGGGGACGGGAGAGGUCGACGGUAUUUCCGGGGUAGGGGUGAAAUCCUAUAAUCCCGGGAGGACCACCAGUGGCGAAGGCUGUCGACUAGAACGCGCCCGACGGUGAGGGAUGAAAGCUGGGGAGCGAACCGGAUUAGAUACCCGAGUAGUCC